UAUUUUUUUAAUCUUCCAAUUAUUAUAAGAAAAUUUGUUCCACGCGGUUCCUUGUUGCGCAGGGAAGGCAAUUAGUGGGACACACCCUGCCUUCACCAUGCGGCCUCUGCCCCUCCCUUACCAGUUGGAGUGAGCGGUCUGAGCUGAACUCCACUUCCACAACUGCCGACCUGGGUUCAGUCACGAGCUCCUGACCAACAGACCGCCACAAAAUCCAAAACCUCCAGCCACACCACGACUCCAAGCCACGACCUCGCUCUUUGUCAUGCCACGUGUCUACCAGCUGCAAGUACCAUCAUCAUCUGCCUCGUCAAUACUACGCUCCACCUCAAUCAAAGAAUACAACUUACCUUCGGAUUCUCGUCUCACCCUCCUCCGCUCUGGUGACAUAUCCAUGGACUCUUCGCCAACAACCAUGAACUAAAUAAAAACUUCUCUUAGCCUA